UUCAGUUGCGUGGUGUUUUCUCCUUUCCACAACACCCACAAGGACCGUAUCUAGGUUUUUCUUCGUCGUCUUCGGGUGUGGGUUUAUUCCCAGAGCAAGCAUCCUCUCUUUCAAGAUUGGCCAGGGCGAAAGGCUAGUGAGGGUACUGUUUGAAGUUGCGAGUUGUCGCCAGCCAACCGUUAUUUUUGUUGAUGAAAUUGAUCCAUUUCUGUCAUAGGCAGGGUUUGCUCUAGCUCCUAAUCUCAACGGUUGUGAUUAAAAGUUAACAUCUGGUUUAAAAAUACACGCGUCGGUUUCCAACUCUCCGGCCGUAUGAGCCAUCAGCUACGACACGAAAACAGGCUCACCGAAAUCAACCGGUAUGAUCUCAAAUCUUCUGAGAAUGGAACCCACCACAUAUUUCAUCCGAGUAAAAGCCAUGUCCUUCCGCACACAAACCCUUGGACCUGCCUGGAAAAUUAGCAACUUGUACAAAUAUCAUAUAUACCUUUUUCAGUGUUGGAGGCGGCGUCGAGUGAGGAUGGAAGGGGUGUCGAGUGAAGCUCCACACAGAGACCCAUUUGCUAGGUUGGGGAUUUGUUUGUAUUGAAGAACUGAGUAUGGUCAAGUUAUAAAGAAUCGACCGUGGAACGCAAGACUAUCACAAUUCAAUUCAAAGGUAAAAGUGAUUUUCCUUAUUACUUGCGACUCUUGUGAUAGGAAUUAUGGUUGGCCCAUUAGCCAUUAUGCGACUUAGUUCUAAAUCAAUGCCACUUAACAUAAUAUAAAUACCAUUGUAUUCAACCGAGUAUGGUUCUCGUUCCUGGCAUAUCACGUGUAUGAAAUAAAAAGAUAAACCUAUAAUAAACUGAACUGAUAUAUAACAAAAACGGUGGAGCACAUCCUUUGAUCACACAAACACAGAGAGGUCAAGCAUUAUAGGAAUCACAAGGAGACAUUUGAAACGUUCAUCACACAACACGGGCCAAAACAAAAGCACAUAUCAUAUGCUUCACACAAACUUUUAAUUAAAAACACCAAAUUGGCAUUAAAACAUUAAUCCUUAGAAACACUGAAAGCAAGCAAUUACACUUAAUAAUAAGACUAAUUGUUCUGAAAGACAAGACUGGUUGUUCUUCGAUCUAAAAGACUGACAUAACGACUGAAAACACGCAUUUAGAUAUUACAAGCCAACUCCCCAAUUAAUCCUGGAGCUGCUCUCAAAAAUUAAUUCCAAACCGGUGAUGCUUUCUUUUGAUUUGUCUUAACCUCUCACGCUUUUCCGGCGCCAAGUUGGGGCAGUUUGCGUACACGUGGUCGCCAACAACAAAACAACGAGGACAAUACUUGAGAACAGCGCAUCCUGUCCAGCCCUUCCCAGGGUGACCACCCUACAAACCACACCCCUUACUGACUACUGCGUACUUUUCACACACAUUUCCCUCCUCUCCUUUUGGGAUAAUUUCCAGGUAUGGGCAUUCUUCAGUCGUGUGGUCCUUUUCUUUUCCACACACUUCAUAAGGACCUAAUCCAAGUUUUCUUUCAGCAGGUGUGAGUUUGGGCAUAGCAUCCUCCAUUUCUUUCAACUUUUUAACUUUUUAGCACACAUAUCCCACCAUUUGUAUAAUGACACGUGGUGUACCAUCCCUUAUACCGAUCACACUGAAAAAUUUCUCGUGAAUUAGGUUGUUUGUCAAACCAUUUUUCUGCUUAUAUGUUUGUUUACACAUCAAUCCUUAAACAAGCUUUGAAUUUCACCAUUUGUUAUGGAUUGUAUGUUGUCUUUUUUGAGUACAUAUUUUAAUAAGGUUAUGGGGAAUGUGGAUUUUUCUUGCUAAUCUUUUGUUGGAUAAAUAUCGACAACCUAUGAUAAACUUAAUUAUGCUAAUAAAUGAUAAAUGUGAAUAAAUGUAUUAACAGAGUAUGAACAAUGCGAAAUAAUAUUGAACAGACAAAGAUCGCACUUGCGUACCGUAAUGUCCUUGAAACAUAUUUCGUCCCUACUCAGUGCUUGUAGUUCUACAGACAUCUGCCUCAUUAGGAUUCAACGAUCUAAGUUAGAAUUCUAGCAUCAGAAAACUGACUUUUGGCGAAUUAUUGUGUGGUUCUCUCAGUAAGAAGGUUUAGGAAUGAAGAAGAAGAAUUUGAUAUUUUAUGUGUUUUAAAUGUCAUGCAGAUAAAUGUAUAUAUAGUGGGAUUAUGCAUGUUCGCAACAGAUAUGAGAAUGGGAUGUGACUGUUGACUGUUGGGAGACAUCUCUUCAGAAGGGUGCUGUGCUCUAUGCGUUUUUUCAUUCAUUGCAGACUUCAUCAGAAAAGAUGAGUAGGUUCGUAUAAAAAUAAUUUCAUUUUCUAUGGUUCAUCACUCCAAUCAAUUUAUAUAAAGAACAAAGCUUUAUAAAGUGAGGAAACCUUUUCGUAUAAAAAUAAUUUCAUUCGUCCUCUAUUUAAUCUAGGAAACUCGAGCGAGAACAUACAAAUGCAGUUACUUGGGUUGCAAGUUUGCAAUUAGGAUCACCAAUUCUAUACAGUUGCUUGGCCGAUAGUGCCGAAACAGUUGACGGAUAAUUGCCAUACAUACAUAUGCCGGUGGUCUGAAAAAAGAGCCAAUGUUUUAACUCUCUUGUAUGAC